rnacentral:misc_RNA from 1 species
GAACUGCGAUAAGUAGUGUGAAUUGCAGAAUUCAGUGAAUCAUCAAACUCUUGAACGCACAUGGCGCCCUGUGGCAACGCAGGGCACGCCUGUCUGAGCCUCGGUAUUCAACCUCACAACCACCCAACGGGCGGAUGUGGAAGUGGGGAUUGCUUUGAGCAUUCCCUCAAAUGAAGCUGCCGGGCGCAGCGGGAUAGGGCCCCAAGCCGAUCCACCGCAACCAGUUUCUGAUGGCGCAUGCCUCUAAUCCUGGUGCUGGCUCGUUCUCUUGGCCGCCUCCCGCCGCCCACCCGGUACGACGCGCCCCGCGAGGGGCACCCCUUCAAACUUCGAGCUCAGAUCAGGCGAGGCUACCCGCUGAAUUUAA